UAUUGGGCGUGAGAGCUCGUAGGCGGUUUGUCGCGUCUGCUGUGAAAUCCCGAGGCUCAACCUCGGGUCUGCAGUGGGUACGGGCAGACUAGAGUGCGGUAGGGGAGAUUGGAAUUCCUGGUGUAGCGGUGGAAUGCGCAGAUAUCAGGAGGAACACCGAUGGCGAAGGCAGAUCUCUGGGCCGUAACUGACGCUGAGGAGCGAAAGCAUGGGGAGCGAACAGGAUUAGAUACCCUGGUAGUCCAUGCCGUAAACGUUGGGAACUAGAUGUGGGGACCAUUCCACGGUCUCCGUGUCGCAGCUAACGCAUUAAGUUCCCCGCCUGGGGAGUACGGCCGCAAGGCUAAAACUCAAAGGAAUUGACGGGGGCCCGCACAAGCGGCGGAGCAUGCGGAUUAAUUCGAUGCAACGCGAAGAACCUUACCAAGGCUUGACAUAUACCGGAAACAUGCAGAGAUGUGUGCCCCGCAAGGUCGGUAUACAGGUGGUGCAUGGUUGUCGUCAGCUCGUGUCGUGAGAUGUUGGGUUAAGUCCCGCAACGAGCGCAACCCUCGUUCUAUGUUGCCAGCACGUAAUGGUGGGAACUCAUAGGAGACUGCCGGGGUCAACUCGGAGGAAGGUGGGGAUGACGUCAAAUCAUCAUGCCCCUUAUGUCUUGGGCUUCACGCAUGCUACAAUGGCCGGUACAAAGGGCUGCGAUACCGUAAGGUGGAGCGAAUCCCAAAAAGCCGGUCUCAGUUCGGAUUGAGGUCUGCAACUCGACCUCAUGAAGUCGGAGUCGCUAGUAAUCGCAGAUCAGCAACGCUGCGGUGAAUACGUUCCCGGGCCUUGUACACACCGCCCGUCAAGUCAUGAAAGUCGGUAACACCCGAAGCCAGUGGCCUAACCGCAAGGGAGGAGCUGUCGAAGUGGGAUCGGUGAUUAUGACGAAGUCGUACAGGGGUAACC
rnacentral:rRNA from 1 species